rnacentral:rRNA from 1 species
GUUGACCUCGGAUCAGGUAGGGAUACCCGCUGAACUUAAGCAUAUCAAUAAGCGGAGGAAAAGAAACCAACAGGGAUUGCCCUAGUAACGGCGAGUGAAGCGGCAACAGCUCAAAUUUGAAAUCUGGCGCAAGCCCGAGUUGUAAUUUGUAGAGGAUGCUUCUGGCCAGCGGCCGUUCUAAGUUCCUUGGAACAGGACGUCAUAGAGGGUGAGAAUCCCGUAUGUGACCGGCGCGCAGCCUUUACGUAGCUCCUUCGACGAGUCGAGUUGUUUGGGAAUGCAGCUCUAAAUGGGAGGUAAAUUUCUUCUAAAGCUAAAUACCGGCCAGAGACCGAUAGCGCACAAGUAGAGUGAUCGAAAGAUGAAAAGCACUUUGGAAAGAGAGUUAAAAAGCACGUGAAAUUGUUGAAAGGGAAGCGCUUGCAACCAGACUUCGUAGCGAUGUUCCGCUGGUCUUCUGACCGGUCUACUCAUCGUCGCGAGGCCAACAUCGUCUGGGCCCGCUGGAUAAGACCUAAGGAAUGUGGCUUCUCUUCGGGGAAGUGUUAUAGCCUGUGGUGAUGCAGCGUGGCUCGGGCGAGGUCCGCGCUUCGGCAAGGAUGUUGGCGUAAUGGUUGUCAGCGGCCCGUCUUGAAACACGGACCAAGGAGUCUAACAUCUAUGCGAGUGUUCGGGUGUCAAACCCCUACGCGUAAUGAAAGUGAACGGAGGUGGGAAGCGCAAGCUGCACCAUCGACCGAUCCUGAUGUCCUCGGAUGGAUUUGAGUAAGAGCAUAGCUGUUGGGACCCGAAAGAUGGUGAACUAUGCCUGAAUAGGGUGAAGCCAGAGGAAACUCUGGUGGAGGCUCGCAGCGGUUCUGACGUGCAAAUCGAUCGUCAAAUUUGGGUAUAGGGGCGAAAGACUAAUCGAACCAUCUAGUAGCUGGUUCCUGCCGA